rnacentral:lncRNA from 1 species
GGACAUCCGAAGGGGGUAGGGGAGUUAACUUCCAAUUUCCUCUGUGGGGGUGGUAUGGAUGUUUUCUGGAAUAACCCAUUCAGAGGUUUACAUGGUAUUCAUCUGCCCAACAUAGUAUGUCAGAGUUAUAUAAAUUCCACAGCCAUUAGAGUUGUAGACUUGUAGUUAGGUAUUUGUAGGAAUGAAGGGUGUCUACGUGCCAGCCAAUGCAUAUUCGCUGCCAAUCAAAUUGCCGAUGAUUGAUAACAUGUACAUUUGAGAGCAUCUUCAGUGGUGGUAUCCCCAGUAUUGGAGUAGAGCCCAACUGUUCAGUUAGACAUUAUUUACGAACUUCCUCUCUUAUAUCUGCAUAGAUUAUUUUUGAUAUAUUGUAAUGUAAAAUGAAACUUUGGGAUAGUUAAGAAAUACAAUUAAUCCAUUUAUAAUGGACAAGAUUGUCCCCUUAACAAGUAAAAUUGCCUGGCAUAUUAGACGGACUUAUAAAUGACAUACCAUAUUAAUUUUUAAAACCAUUAGGUUGCAUUGUGCCCUAAUGCACCCUACUUUAUUAUUUUACUCUGUCUAACACCAGACAAUUUUACUUGUGAACUGGAGAGCCACUCAGUGCUCAAUGGGUUAACAUGUCAAUGUCUAACUGAACCGUCUGGGCUCUGCUCUACAGUAAAUUUCCUUGUAAUUGGAGUCUGGGAUCUGUGACCCAAUACAUCUUCAGUUUCUUCAUAUGGUACUGUCACUAUUUUAUAUGUAUAAUGGACAUUUUUCAUUUAGGGUGAAUCUGAUGUACAAGUCAUGUGGACAAGAAAUUAAUACAAGUUCUUUUGAAUGUUCAAAUAGCAAGGGUUAAGUGGUGCACUAGCUCUUGUCAGACUUAACUGCAUGCCAGAACUAACAAUUACUUUUCUCUAUAAUUUUGUGGGAAUGUGUUAUUUGUUUAUGUAAUAUGUUCUACAAACAGCCAAAGAAUAACCCAUGAGCUCUAGUUUUAAUUUUUUAAUAAUACUGUUAAGUAUUACAUGUAACGUGAUUGUACAGUUAGGUUUUAAUAUUAUUUAUUGCUAAUGGGUCAUUCCAGAAAACAUCCAUACCACCCCCACAGAGGAAAUUACGUACAUUUACUAUUAUCAGAAACAAUUUUUUCCCUCCUCCCCCUCCGGACGGCAUUAAUUUCCUCCGUGGGGGGAGUGUGGAUCUUUUCUGGAACGUCCCAACUGGAUAAUUAUUCUUUAACCAUGCAAGUUGAAUUAAAAUAAAUAAUAUACAAAAUCAAGCAAAUUUUUGUCUUUAAUUAAUUUUGAAACAAUUAAUACAUGUUUCUUGGAGGUUCACUAACAACAGUGGCAUGAACUCAUUGUGGGAGCAUUCUGCAAUAAGCAAGAAUUGAUUAUAGCCAUAGGGGCUAUCAAUAUGGAAGCCAGGCUGGCCUGGUUGGCAGAACUAUUUAUUAUUUCCAGAUUAAUUUCCUUGCCGACACAAUUCUCUAUUGUUUUGACAAUAUUUCCAUGACCAAUGUUGUAUUGACUUUACUUUGACCAGGUCAGUCCAGUUAGUGUUUAUAUCCAUAAAAUAUCUUCCCAGUGUAACUGAGAGCUUGCCUUCUUCAGGUGAGAUCUGAAAACUGAGCCAGUCCGGUUGUCCAUACAAUUUGAAAGGAAUUUCCACU